GGCUCAGUGGUGGAUGGUCCACACCUGCUUCUUGUGAAGAUUCUUCCACAUACCAGUGGGAGAAGAAGCCUGUUCGAAUCAGGCCUGAGCCA